CAGAAAAUUUUUUUUAUUUACAAUAAAAUUUUAAUCAUUUAUUUGAUUUUUUCUGA
rnacentral:tRNA from 1 species